rnacentral:lncRNA from 1 species
UUACAGACUUGUUCACUGGACUCAUCAUCACAGCUGCUGCUUUCUUAGAGACAGGAGAGGCACAGCAGACAGUCUUGAAUCACUUCUCAUACUCAGUAUUAGAGCUCAACUGGGCUAUCAAGCUACCACAGCUUAAGACCUGACGACUUCUCAUCUCGUUCAUGGAGAGCUGCUUGUUUUUUGUAAUGGAAAUUAGAGAUGCCUACCUCUAACUAGCCACCAGUCCAGUGCUAUGAUUACGUAUCAGACAGUAUAUCGGUACGGACUUACCACCUUGAACUCCUUUGAGACAACACACAAAGAGAGCGGCACACUCGCAGUAGUUUUCCAGUGUAGAUUGGAACCUCUUCAAGGUGAUGCCUGUGAAUCCUUGGCUCUACUGAAACUCACAUCAAGAGUUCACCAAGCUCCUCACUAGAGCCAGGACUUCAGCCAGCCAUCCUGCCUCACUGCAAAGCUCUGUAAUUGAAAGAUAAAUGAUUUAACUAGUAGGAGAACACCUUUAGAGCUUUCUGAUGUUGAUUCAUGCUCAGCUUAAGCCUGAAUGCGCAAUAUCAUUACUGAAAGGGGUCUUCUGCCCUUCCUCCUCUGCUAUCUGCACAUUUCUGCCCUUGGAAAAUAGGCUGAAGCACGCACACAGGUGAAUGAUAAACCAGGCUGAGGAAAUGAUCCAGCUGAAAAAUAGCUCAGCAAAAAGAAAGGCUGUUUUGACCAAGGUGUCUGCUUCUGUCAGUUGAGAGAGGGGAUUAAGCUGGAAUGGGAAACAAGUGGCACCAUAGCAGAUAGUGGCAACACCAGCUUCUGCAGAUUGUGAAAUUGCAGUGCUGUUUCCUAUCUCAUAAAUUAUUUCCUCUGCCCUUUACUUCUCUGUUUACUUCAUGAUCCAAUAGGUCCCUCCUCCAGUGUUUCUGUCUGUAAAAAUGACAAGCAAGUGAGAAAACAGAUAAGAAAAUAAUCAACCUGUGAGCUUCAUUAUGUUUGUAUUCCUCAGCAACUGACUGUUCUUACAGCUUUUCAUACUUUUGAACCUCUUCCUGAUGAGAUACAAUGCUAGAGCACACAGGAAAAUAAAUAAGUGAUUUUUUCUGUCUUGCCA